AUACUUAUCUGGCACGGGAUAUACCAUGACCGUGAAGGUGGUUUCCAGGGUGAGGCUCAUCCAUUGCACUCUGGUUGUGUUGACCCCUGUGAUUUCCCUAAAUGCAGAAUUUGUAGUAGUGAGGGACUAUGUUUGUGGUUUCCCCUGU
ensembl:snRNA U1 U1 spliceosomal RNA